GAGGCUUCCUGGUCUGCAGACCUCCCCUCGGGUGUCAGUUCUGAUGGUCCAGGCUGGGACGGACAAGUAUAGCUGAAGAAAUUAAUUUACUUUGUGACCGAGAAGCGCUGCGAUCAGGUUCGUACCUUCCCACCUGUGCCGGAGGAGGAAGAGGAGGAGAAGGAGGAGAGCCCCGGAGCCGCCGUGGGCAGGGCGAGGGACGCCGACAAAAGAGAGCCCCGAGCGAGAGCCGCGGGUUCUGCUUGCGAGUUUGGAGGCAUUUUAAGUCUAAGGGAUAAGUGACAGGGCCAUCAUUUCCCCGGCUCGGCUGCUUUCGGAUUCGUCUGCGAGGGUGAAGUCUUGCUAACAGCUCGUGUAUCUGUAUAUUUAAUUGCGACCUGGCUGCAUAUUCCUGUUGAGGAAGGAUGCAGAUGACAAGUGAGUCUAUAAAAAAAAAUAAAAA